AUGGAGCUAGGACUUAUGCAGAGCUGGGACACUUUCUAUUAUGUCAUGAUAAUAAUUUGCCAAUUAUUUUCUGACUACAAAGAAAAAUGGAUGCUAAAAAUCUCUUCUGAAAACAGCAAUCCAGAACAAGACUUAAAGCUGACAUCAGAGGAAGAGUCACAAAGGCUUAAAGGCAGUGAAAAUAGCCAGCCAGAGAAAAUGUCUGAAGAACCAGAAAUAAAUAAGGAUUGUGAUAGAGAGCUGGAAAAUUGUAUGGCUAUUGAAUAAGUGAAGAAGCACGGAAGUAAUCAUGUGGGAUUAUCAGAAAACCUGACUGAUGGUGCCGCUGCUGGCAAUGGUGAUGAUGGAUUAAUUCCACAAAGGAAGAGCAGAACACCUGGAAGUCAGCAAUUUCCUGACACUGAGAAUGAAGAGUGUCACAGUGAUGAACAAAAUCAUACUCAGAAGCAAAUUUCUGAAGAACAGAGCACUGGAAUAUCACAAGAUGAGAUUCUGACUAAUAAACAAAAGCAGAUAGAAGUGGCUGAAAAUAAAAUGAAUUCUGAGCUUUCUCCUUGUCCUAAGAAAGAAAAAGAUCUCUUGCAUGAAAAUAGUACGUUGCAGGAAGAAAUUGCCAUGCUAAGACUGGAGCUAGACACGAUGAAACAUCAGAGCCAGCUAAGAGAAGAGAAAUAUUUGGAGGAAAUUGAAAGCACAAAAAAAGAGAAUAAUGAUCUUUUAAAGGCUAUGCAGUUGAAUGAGCUCACCGUGGAUGAUGAUACCGCCGUGCUCGUCAUUGACAACGGUUCCGGCAUGUGCAAGGCUGGAUUUGCGGGCGACGAUGCCCCCGGGCUGUCUUCCCUUCCAUCGUGGGGUGCCCCAGGCACCAGGGCAUAAUGGGGGGCAUGGGUCAGAAGGAGUCCUAUGUGGGCAACGAAGCCCAGAGCAAGAGAGGCAUCCUGACCCUGAAGUACCCCAUGGAGCGCGGCAUCAUCACCAACUGGGGCGACAUGGAGAAGAUCUGGCGCCACACCUUCUACAACGAGCUGCGUGUGGCUCCCAAGGAGCACCCCAUCCUGCUGACCGAGGCCCCCCUCAACCCCAAGGCCAACCGCGAGAAGAUGACCCAGAUCAUGUUUGAGACCUUCAACACCCUAGCCAUGUACGUGGCCAUCCAGGCCGCGCUGUCCCUGUACACCUCUGGCCGUACCACUGGCAUCGUGAUGGACUCCGGUGACGGAGCCACCCACAGUGUUCCCAUCUAUGAGGGGAAUGCCCUCCCCCAUGCCACCCUGCACGUAGACCUGGCCGGCCAGAACCUGACUGACCACCUCAUGAAGAUCCUCACCGAGCGUGGCUACAGCUUCACCACCACGGCUGAGCGGGAAAUCGUGCGUGACAUCAAGGAGAAGCUGUGCUAUGUCGCCCUGGACUUUGAGCAGGAGAUGGCCACAGCGGCCUCCAGCUCCUCCCUAGAGGAGCUACGAGCUUCCUGAUGGCCAGGUCAUCACCAUCGGCAACGAGCGGUUCCGCUGCCCCGAGGCGCUCUUCCAGCCUUCCUUCCUGGGCAUGGAAUCCUGUGGCAUCCACAAAACUACCUUCAACUCCAUCAUGAAGUCUGACGUGGACAUCCGCAAAGACCUGUACAGCAACACGGUGCUGUCUGGCGGCACCACCAUGUACCCUGGCAUGGCCGACAGGAUGCAGAAGGAGAUCACCGCCCUGGCGCCCAGCACAAUAAAGAUCAAGAUCAUUGCUCCGCCGGAGCGCAAGUACUCCAUGUGGGUCGGUGGCUCCAUCCUGGCCUCGCUGUCCACCUUCCGGCAGAUGUGGAUCAGCAAGCAGGAGUAUGAUGAGUCAGGCCCCUCCAUUGUCCACCGCAAAAGCUUCUAG